rnacentral:lncRNA from 1 species
AUGGUAGGAGAGACACGCUGCACCUCUGGCUGGUCCAGGUGGCUGUGGAGCUAUGCAGACAGCUGGUGUGCUGCGAGAGAACGGCGAGAGAACUGUCUGCACGUGCUCAGGGCAGAUGCAGUGUUCUGGACAUGUUCUACCCACAGCUGGAGAAUCUGUGGCUGCAGAACGGCUGUGUGGUCUUUGGGACGGUGUCGAAGAGGUGAUAAUAUUGAGGUGUGCGCUCAGGGUGCCACCGCACUCCCCGCAACAGACGCCCUAAGUGCAUUCCUGUGGGCACCAAGCUCGGAUGGGCACGGGCGCUGGCUGAGAAGCCAUGUGCUUCACCCCACACAGUGGAGGAGCAGGACGGGUGGGCAGCCUGCAGCAUGGCUGAGACCCCUCACUCCAGACAAGGGGCGCAGGGCGGCCUCAACCCAAGAGGAAGAAUGGAGAAGCCGGGACACGGCCUGCAGCCCUGACCAGCCCGGGCCGUCCGUCGGGGAGCGAUGGGGUGCAGGAGAGCUCCUGGAGGUUCCAAUGGACGGACUUGCUGUGGGAGACUGAGUCCAAGUCAGGAGGGGAUCACUUUUUUUUUUUUUUAUUUUAAAGAGAAAAAGAAUAAAAUUUGAAAACAAGAUAAUAGGAAAGCAAAAAUGGUUAAUACAUUGUGUAUUGUUAUCUUUAAAUUACUUAGAGUACAAGAUACAGGCAUUUAAUUAUCUAAACAAUAUUAACACAAACCUUCCUUUUCAAUGAACUAAGAGAAAUUAGUAGUAUAACUAUCUUAACUCUCUUCUGUAUAUAAUAUAUAUACAUAUAUGUAUAUAUAUAUUCUAACUUUCUCCUUCCUUCUUUUCUUCUUUCCCCCAUCCCAGUUUCUCUUUCCUUUUGAACAGUUUCUUCCUAUUUCACAAUUACCUAUUGCACAUUCUGGAUCUUAUUUACUCUUUU